GGUGACGUGGCCGAGAGGCUGAAGGCGGCGGUUUGCUAAACCGUUAUACGGUCAAAAGCCGUAUCGAGGGUUCGAAUCCCUCCGUCACCG
rnacentral:tRNA from 1 species